AUAUAAACGCAAGCUACACAAAAGUGACAUGGACAAGAACAGCGCAAGCCCUUUACAUGCAGUGGAGCCGCCGUAUCUCGCCGUUCAAGAUAUGCGUACUCGUAAGUGGCAUUUUAAUUUCACGUUGUGUAAUGCAUGACUGUCUUUUUCAAGUGAACAAAGGUCGCUUUGUAUUGUGUAAAUGGUUUUGCAACGUAUGAUAAACUCCUUGUCUUUCGGGCUUAUUUUUUCUGACAGGAAAAAAAAAAAGAGGCUUUACAUGAGAACGGAUCAAGCGUUCGAGAGUUGGGACAGGGAAAUGAAACACUGGAACGACACUGCUUAAAUUGAAGCACAGUGUGCGAAUGACCUGCUACGCUCGGAACUGUUAUCACCAUUCGGGAAGAAAUUGGAUGAAAAAACAUAACUGUAAAUACCUGUAUGAUAUACGUCUGGUGCAUUGCAGGUAAGAAUGGAUUGUGUGUGGCGCGCUUCACCGCAUGUGGACUAGAGUAGAUCUAGGAACAUCAGACAAGAAGACACGUAUGUGAAACCCUGCGGAUAGCCCAUAUGUAAGUUCUUCCUCAAUUUUUCUUUUGUUGCAUUUUCGUAGUUUACGUGUAAUACUUUGUCACCGCGGUCUCGACGUUAUGUAUACCUAUACAUUUGUCUCGUGGCAGUCUGCGUGCUAUUUUGUUUGUGCAACUAUGUGUUGUAUUCAUUUAUCGA
rnacentral:lncRNA from 1 species